UGAAAAGAAUGCCAACGGUUGCCACGAA
rnacentral:sRNA from 1 species